AGAGUUUGAUCCUGGCUCAGAAUGAACGCUGGCGGCGUGCUUAACACAUGCAAGUCGGAUGUGCCGCAAGGUGCAUGGCAGACGGGUGAGUAACGCGUGGGGAACCUACCUUUUUGUGGGGAAUAACGUUCCGAAAGGAACGGUAAUACCGCAUGUGACCAUGGACUGGAAUGUCGAUGGUGAAAGCUGGGGAUCGUAAGACCCAGCGCAAGGAGAGGGUCCUGCGUCUGAUUAGCUAGUUGGUGGGGUAAUGGCCUACCAAGGCUUCGAUCAGUAGCCGGCCUGAGAGGGUGAUCGGCCACACUGGAACUGAGACACGGUCCAGACUCCUACGGGAGGCAGCAGUGGGGAAUUUUGCGCAAUGGACGAAAGUCUGACGCAGCAACGCCGCGUGGGUGAUGAAGGUCUUCGGAUUGUAAAACCCUGUCGUCAGGGACGAAGGGUUGCGACCAAAUAAGUCGUGACCUUGACGGUACCUGGAGAGGAAGCCCCGGCUAACUCUGUGCCAGCAGCCGCGGUAAUACAGAGGGGGCAAGCGUUAUUCGGAAUUAUUGGGCGUAAAGGGCGCGUAGGCGGCGUCGUAAGUAGGAUGUGUAAUCCCCGAGCUUAACUUGGGAACUGCAUCCUAGACUGCGAUGCUAGAGUGCUGGAGAGGGUGGUAGAAUUCCACGUGUAGCGGUGAAAUGCGUAGAGAUGUGGAGGAAUACCAGUGGCGAAGGCGGCCACCUGGACAGUAACUGACGCUGAGGCGCGAAAGUGUGGGUAGCAAACAGGAUUAGAUACCCUGGUAGUCC
rnacentral:rRNA from 1 species